GGCCGGGGGACGGACUGG
rnacentral:snRNA from 1 species